AGUAAAUGCAAAGUUAAACCGAUCAUACUGUUGUAUUCUUUUAUACUGUUUUAAAUCAUUCAGUAAAUGCAAAGUUAAACCGAUAUGUUUUUAAUCUAGAUCUAAAAGUGUCUUCUGUUGAAACACAUCUGAUCUCUUCUGAAAGCUGAUUCCAGGUUUAAAAGUGCCCACUGUUGAAACACAUCUGAUCUCAUUUGAAAGCUGAUUCCAGCUACAGAUCUAAAAGUGUCUUCUGUUGAAACACAUCUGAUCUCUUCUGAAAGCUGAUUCCAGCUACAGAUCUAAAAGUGUCUUCUGUUGAAACACAUCUGAUCUCUUCUGAAAGCUGAUUCCAGAUUUAAAAGUGCCUACUGUGGAAACACGUCUGAUCUCAUCUGAAAGCUGAUUCCAGCUACAGAUCUAAAAGUGCCUACUGUUGAAACACAUCUGAUCUCAUCUGAAAGCUGAUUCCAGCU